rnacentral:rRNA from 1 species
GACGAACGCUGGCGGCGUGCUUAACACAUGCAAGUCGAGCGAGGGUGUCUCUGUCCUUUUGGGUGGGGGUGUUCGAGCGGCGAACGGGUGAGUAACACGUGAGUAAUCUGCCCUUCACUUGGGGAUAACUUCCGGAAACGGUGGCUAAUACCCGAUAUGACCAUGCGCUGCCUGGUGUGUGGUGGAAAGAGUUUUUGGUGGGGGAUGUGCUCGCAGCCUAUCAGCUUGUUGGGGGGUAAUGGCCUACCAAGGCUUCGACGGGUAGCCGGCCUGAGAGGGUGGACGGCCACACUGGGACUGAGACACGGCCCAGACUCCUACGGGAGGCAGCAGUGGGGAAUAUUGGACAAUGGGCGGAAGCCUGAUCCAGCAACGCCGCGUGGGGAUGACGGCCUCGG